CCUACGGGUGGCAGCAGUGGGGAAUAUUGCACAAUGGGGGAAACCCUGAUGCAGCGACGCCGCGUGGGUGAAGAAGUCUUUCGGUAUGUAAAGCCCUAUCAGCAGGGAAGAAAAAUGAUGGUACCUGACUAAGAAGCACCGGCUAAAUACGUGCCAGCAGCCGCGAUAAUACGUAGGGGGCAAGCGUUAUCCGGAAUUACUGGGUGUAAAGGGAGCGUAGACGGUAAUGCAAGUCUGGAGUGAAAGGCUGGGGCCCAACCCCCGGACUGCUCUGGAAACUGUGUAACUGGAGUGCAGGAGAGGCAGGCGGAAGUCCUAGUGUAGCGGUGAAAUGCGUAGAUAUUAGGAGGAACACCAGUGGCGAAGGCGGCCUGCUGGACUGUAACUGACGUUGAGGCUCGAAAGCGUGGGGAGCAAACAGGAUUAGAUACCCGGGUAGUC
rnacentral:rRNA from 1 species